UCAGUACUAAGGUCAUCAAUAUAGGAAAACUACAAUAUGAGACUACAGUAUGUCUAAAUCUCUCUCUUUUGUCAUACUUCAUAAUGACAUAAUUGGUUGGAUCAGCUAUAACUCUUCAGUAAGCAAACUCAGGUAUUUGGAAUAUAUGAAGCUUUCAAAGAGGUCUCACAUAGGGAGAAAGCCUCCAGUGACUUGUUAGGAAGAAACCUCCUGACCCACCUCCAUGCAGCUUUCUAAGAACUGCCUUCACAGUUAAUCUGCCCUUCAUGAUGUUGGAAGAGUGUGGGGAAAAUCAACUGGAGAUCAAGAGAUGGUAACCUUUCAAUACCCUUUCCUUUUCCUUUUGAGCCUGUUCACUCUCUGCUACUAGAAGGGAAGUCUAAGGG
rnacentral:lncRNA from 11 species